rnacentral:rRNA from 1 species
GACGAACGCUGGCGGCGUGCCUAAUACAUGCAAGUCGAACGCAGUGGGGACUGGUGAGUAGCACGUGGGUAACCUCCCAUCAGAGUGGCUAACACUUGGAAACAGGUGCUAAACCGAUACUGAUUGAUGGAGCCGCGGUGCAUUAGCGAGUGGGUGGGGUAACGGCUCACCAAGGCCACGAUGCAUAGCCGACUUGAGAGGAUGAUCGGCCACACUGGGACUGAGACACGGCCCAGACUCCUACGGGAGGCAGCAGUAGGGAAUUUUCGGCAAUGGACGAAAGGCUGACCGAGCAACGCCGCGUGAGUGAAGAAGGUGUUCGGAUCGUAAAACUCUGUUGGUAGAGAAGCGGUAUCUAACCAGAAAGCAACGGCUAACUACGUGCCAGCAGCCGCGGUAAUUC